CAAAUUUUAAACCCAUGUUGUUUUGAGUCCAACAUUGGCUGCUAAUGUUGUCAAUAGUUUCAACUAUCAGUGUAAAUUAGUCAAAUGGGUCCGACUUUGACCAUCGUGACUUAAGGUUGCAUAAAUGCAAAUUUUUGUUUUAUGAUCUCCUCCAAUCACCUUCAGCUGUUAGCAUGCUGAGUAGUAGCCAACAAAUAGAAAUAGUUUCCAUGUCCUCUAACUUAUGCCAUAACUAACACAUGUAGUGACAAUAGUUUAAAAUAUUUUUGAUCUAUUUUACACAGACGUAAGUCAGUUUUAUGUCACCGUGUCCCAAUACACACGUUAACAGAGAGAUUUUCUAGAAACAGUUUGAACUGUGAUAUGUGCCCACUUGAUAAACCGUCUCCAUUUAUUGAAUAAUUGUUUAAUCGAUUAGUGUUUAGCCAGAAAAUGCCAACAAAAUUUACUCGUAUCAAAAGUGAAUAUUUGUUAGUUUGUUAUUUGUUUGGUUGUUUGAUUAAUUUCUGACAUUAUAUACACUGAGCAAUUAAUUGAUUCUUAAAGAGAAAUCAUUUGUUUCCACCUUCAGAUGGAGCAGGACACCUGGACAGCGCUUGUCGUUCCAGUCCCCAGCCGCUCCAUCGUCCCACAGGUCGUCCUCCAUAAGGUCCUGGUGGCAGCCUCCCACAGUGCUCCACCUCUCACCUCUCACUCUCCUCCUGCCUCCUCCUCCUCUGCCUCCGCUCUUAUUUUCUCUCCUCUCCCAGCUCCUCCUCCUGGACUUGUGUUGGGGCAUCAGACCAUCCUCCCCAGAAGAUCCCAAGAAGAGACCCUCAACUUAGAACAGGGAGAGAGGCGGCGAGGGAUGAGGAGGAGACCCUCAGAUGUAAAAGAGAGAUGAUGAAAGAGGAGAGGAGGUGGGAGGGCAAUAAGAAGUAUAAACCUUCUCAUAAAAAAGAACGAGGAGAGGAGAAGACACAAUUGAGGAACAGACUAAGGAGAUGAGAAAAAAAACCAGAGGAGAGGAGAGGAGGUGGAGGGCAACAUGACGUGUAAACUCUCUGAUGUAAAAGAGAUGAUGAGAGAGGAGAGGAGGUGGGAGGGCAACUUGAUGUGAAAACAUCUGAUAAAAAAGAGAGGAGAAACAAUUAGAGAAGAAAAGAGACAUUAAAAAGAAGAGGAGAGGAGGUGGAGGGCAACAUGACAACCCUCUCAUGUAAAAGAGAGAGGGGGCAGGGGGUGGAGGGCACUAUGAGGAGUGAACUGUCACCAUCAAAAAAAAAAAAAAAAAAUCAUCAGUUUAUUUCAGCUGUCUAAAUGAUACACGUGAAUAAUCCAUCUGUUCACAUUUAUUCACUGAAAAUGUAACUAUUAUUCCUGCAUCUUUCAGAACGAGGAGAGAAGACACAACUGAAGAGAAGAGAAAAACCAGAGGAGAGGAGAGGAGGUGGGAGGGCAACUUGAUGUGAAAACAUCUAAUAAAAAAGAGAGGAGAAACAAUUAAAGAAGAAAAGAGACAUGAAGAGAUGAGGAAAAAAGACAUUAAAAAGAAGAGAAGAAGGUGGAGGGCAUUAUGAAGAAGACUCACAUAUAAAAGAUCUACGUGUUCAGCUUCUGUAGCCUGGACAGAAUUACCAGCUCUAACAUUACAGACCAAAAAGGUGUCACCACUUUGUCCAUGAGUCCUCGAAUAAAACAGCAGCCUCCAGGUAAUUUAGAAAUGCAGAGCAUAUAUAUAUCCAGUAAUUGAC